ensembl:misc_RNA Metazoa_SRP Metazoan signal recognition particle RNA
GCUGGGCAUGGUGACGCAUGCCUGUAAUCCCAGGUACUUGGGAGGCUGAGGCAGGAGAAUCGCUUGAAUCCAGGAGGCAGAGAUUGCAGUGAGCCAAGAUCGUGCCACUGCACUCCAGCCUGGGUAACAAAGUGAGACUCCAUCUUAA